rnacentral:tRNA from 1 species
GUUUUUAUAGUUUAAAAAAAAUAGUAAUUUUGUAAAUUAAAGAUAAAUUAUUUUAAAAACU